rnacentral:misc_RNA from 1 species
GAUGAAGAACGUAGCGAAAUGCGAUAAGUAAUGUGAAUUGCAGAAUUCAGUGAAUCAUCGAAUCUUUGAACGCACAUUGCGCCCGCCAGUAUUCUGGCGAGCAUGCCUGUUCGAGCGUCAUUUCAACCAUCAAGCCCCAGGCUUGUGUUGGAGCCCUGCGGCUGCCGCAGCCUCCCAAAACCAGUGGCGGGCUCGCUAUCACACCGAGUGCAGUAGUUUACUCUUCGCUCAGGGCGUGUGGCGGGUGCUAGCCGUGAAACCCCCAACUUCUCAAGGUUGACCUCGGAUCAGGUAGGAAUACCCGCUGAACUUAAGCAUAUCAAUAGCGGAGGA